CCCUCAAAAAAUUAAAAAUGUAACUGCCGUAUGAUCCCACAAUCCUACUUCUGGGUAAAUAUCCAAAAGAACUGAAAGCAGGGUCUUGAAGAAAUAUUUGCACACUCACAUUCCUAACAGCAUUAUUCACAACAGCCAGGAGGAGGAAGCAACCCAACUGUCCAUCAAUGGAUGGCUAGAUAAAAUGCGGUAUAUACAUACAACAGAAUAUUAUUCAGCCUUAAAAAGGAAGAAAAUCCUGUCAACAACUACAACAUGAAUGAACCUUGCGGACUCUACACGGAGUGAAAUAAGCCAGUCGCAAAAAGACAAAUACUUCUAUGAGGUUUCUAACAUGAUCAAAUUCACUGAAACAGAAAGCAGCACGGUGGUCACAAGGGGCUGGGAAGUGAGAGGAAAGGGGAGCAGUUGUUUAUUCGGUAUAGGAUUUCAGUUUUGCAAGACAAAAGUGUUCUGAAGAUUUGUUUCACAACAAUAUGAAUACAUUUCACACUCCUGAACUGUACAUUUAAAGAUGGUGAAGAUGGCAAAGGGGUCAUACUUUUGAAACUAGUAUCUACAAAUAAAGAUAGGGUAAUGUCCUUUUAUAAGGGCUAGUGAAACUAUUAGAUUUUAAUAGAGUGGCAACAAAUGAACUGGUAACUAAACUCAUAAAUGGACAGUAUUAUUACAUAAUCCACGGACGGAAUUUAUUUAGUUGUGAAAGUGGCUCACGACAUGCAUCAUACUCUCAAGACUUCGUUGAUGGACUGUGAAUGGGAUGGUUGCAGUAAGAAACCAUUCUAAGAAUGGAAUCUCUUCAGAAUUCAGAAGAAACAGGGAGGGAAAUUUGCCCUCUCCCUUGAUAACAUUUAUUGUUCAUAUAUGUUCACUUGCUAGGAAACGGGGAUAGAAAUAAAUAAGAUCCAAGUCCUGCUUUCAAGGAUACACAGCCUUGUAGCAAGUACACAAAGGCCAAUGCACCUUUUCCCAGGGGACACUGAGGAGUCAAAAACAAAAUUUGUGUGAGUUCUCAAUGUCAUCCUAGCCUUCCCCUAAAAGCAAAAAGGAGGAAGGGGAGGAAAGAGGACAUGUCCUUUUUUCUUGUCAUUCUGUGUGACAGCCCUAUUUGGUUGUCAGCAGUGUACAAAAGCAGCAGUGAACCUAGCACUUGUUCUACCCCUUAGCCUAAGGUGCCGGCAGCAAGUGCCUAGCAAAUGAACAUAUAUGAACAAUGAAUAAAGGCUCUUUACUCUUCAUUCCUCCUUUCUACCCAUCUUUAUUAGUUACUUAUUGCUGGAUAAAAAAAAGUUCCUCAAAGCUUAAGAGUUUAAAACUUAUUAGCUUAGUAAGUUAAACAGCGAUAAAUAUUAUCUCAGUUUCUGUGUGUCGGGAAUUCAGGAGCGGCAUAGUUGGGUGGUUUUGGCUCAGGGCAUUAUGUUGUUGCAGUCAAGAAGCCUACCAGGGGGACUAAGGGAGGCUCUUUCAGCAUGGAUCAUUCACAUAGCUAGUAAGUUGAUGCUGGCUAUUGGGCGGAGGCUUCAAUUUCUCACCAUGAAGACUUUUCUAUAGGGCUGCUUGAGUGUCUUCAUGACGUAGCGGCUGACGUCCAACAGAGCAAGUGAUUCAAGAUGGCGAGACAGAAGAAGCCACAAUGCCUUUCAUCACUUAGUCUCAA
rnacentral:lncRNA from 1 species